rnacentral:tRNA from 1 species
GCGCGGGUGGAGGAAUUGGCAGACUCGUAAGGUUGAGGGCCUUAUGCCAGCAAUGGCGUGCGGGUUCAAGUCCCGCCCCGCGCA